rnacentral:rRNA from 1 species
GAUGAACGCUGGCGGCGUGCCUAAUACAUGCAAGUCGAGCGAACAGAUAAGGAGCUUGCUCCUUUGACGUUAGCGGCGGACGGGUGAGUAACACGUGGGUAACCUACCUAUAAGACUGGGAUAACUUCGGGAAACCGGAGCUAAUACCGGAUAACAUUUGGAACCGCAUGGUUCUAAAGUGAAAGAUGGUUUUGCUAUCACUUAUAGAUGGACCCGCGCCGUAUUAGCUAGUUGGUAAGGUAAUGGCUUACCAAGGCGACGAUACGUAGCCGACCUGAGAGGGUGAUCGGCCACACUGGAACUGAGACACGGUCCAGACUCCUACGGGAGGCAGCAGUAGGGAAUCUUCCGCAAUGGGCGAAAGCCUGACGGAGCAACGCCGCGUGAGUGAUGAAGGGUUUCGGCUCGUAAAACUCUGUUAUUAGGGAAGAACAAAUGUGUAAGUAACUGUGCACGUCUUGACGGUACCUAAUCAGAAAGCCACGGCUAACUACGUG